UGGUGGCUGUGCUGGCAUCAUCUGGCACAUAGUAAUCUUUAAAGACUUGUGCAAUGACAAAUCAAACCAAACAAGCCUAUGUUGCUGCUCUUGAACUUGCAAUCGAGGGGCAUGAUGCCAAUUCAGUUGGAUGAUUUGGACGACAAGUUCACCAAUGGCCAUGCUGGGAAAAACCUCAGCCUGUUAUCCACAGAUGGAAAAUCGACCAACAUUAACUGGCAGGAUAUGUGCGGUUGGAAAAGUUGAUCGACAAAAAUUACUCAACCAAAAAGGAUGCAUUAUGUGGAUCACAGGUCUCAGCUGUUCAGACAUAUGGAUCGAGCAGAUCAUAUCAGGAAUGCAAAAGCUGUUAUCUAAGUUUUCAUUCAACAUCAUCAAAUCUUGACGAUUGUAACAGAGUGGUCUAUGUGGUAAGUUUAUUUGACCAGGAUGAAGUAUGUGUCAAAAAGUUUUUUUUUAUUUUUUUACCGUGGCAUUAAUUUUAUGGAAUCU